GCGAUUGGGUUUGCUUCCCAGCGUACCCAGAAACAGAACCAGAAGGGGGAAGACAGUUAGUAAGAUAAAAGAGAGAGAGAGGGUUAAUUUGCGAGUUAGGGUUUCGAGUUGACUCACUGAGCCUAUGCAUUGUGUCGUCGGUUUUUUCUCUCGCCGGAGGAAACUCUUGGUCCGAUCUCCCCUGUUUUUCUUUCCAGUAGCAUAGCAGUUUGAAAGGUUCUGUUUUUCCGGCGAGGAGUAUGGGAUUUUCCGGUGAUUCUUUGGAGAAUUGAGUUUAGGGGAAUUCUCGAUUUUGACCUAGAGCAAAGGCAGGAACCACUGGCCCUUCGGUUUCUCAAAUUUUUUGGUCUCAUUCUUUCACAAAUCUUUGGUCACCAAAAGAGCUUCACUCAUUGUGACCCUUUAGGUUUGACUUACCACUGGAAUUGGAAGUAUGGCUGUCUCUUUAACUCGUUUGUCGUGGUGGUUGUGGGGUGGCAAAGAGAAAGAGCCAGUUUCCAGCGGCUCUCAGCUGAAGUCAUCUUCUGAAUGGGGUUUUAAGGAGAGAGAGACUCUGAAGUUUCCUUCUGUUAAGGGAACAAAAAUAGCUCCUUCUCACAGGAAGGGUAAAAAGAAAUGGCAGAGCAGGGAAGAGAGGAGACUUGAUAGAGAGUACGAUGUUGUGCUGGUGUCAUCUGAUGGUGAUGGUUGUUGGUCAGACUCUGAAUCUGAUGACUCAGAUUGGUCCAUUGGGUGGUUGGAGCCACAUGGUUCUGAAUUUCUUCAGAGUGAUGACGAUAUGGAUAAUAGUUUUGCUGUGCUGGUUCCUUGCUAUAGCAAGGAGGUGGAGAGUUCAAGCAAGGAGCUUUUGAGUGCCAUCAAGAACCUUCCAAAUGAAUUUUCUCCUGUUUUCUAUAUGGUUUGGCCUUGUUGAGGAUUCUGAUGCUAAUGAAGAAAUGUGUCAGUCAUUAUCAAAUACUAUGCACUGUUUAGUAAUUAUGAUGAGUGCAAUGGUAAUUGGGGCUUCAAACUCGCUAAAUCCAAAUAGGCUAAUACAUACUACAUGAUAUAGACCAGCAGGCCAAAACUACGUGGAACACUGGCUAGCUUCUCUUCAGAAUUUUAAAGCUUAGAAAACUGCAUCUUCUGACAACGUUCUAGAAGUAGAGGAGGCUAAAUAAUCCAUCCAUCCCAUGUAUUUUUUGUACAAAGAAAUCAUCUUCUCUCUCCUCUUAUUGUAAAAGCUUAAAUUGAAAUGGAAAAUUUCAAUCUACAAAAUUCCAUAUGGGCCAAUCAAUCACUAUUAUAAUAUAAAGAAAAAAAGAGAUUUUCAUGUUGAUAUGAA